rnacentral:rRNA from 1 species
UACAGAGGAGCCAAGCGUUGUCCGGAUUGACUGGGCGUAAAGCGCACGCAGGCGGUUUCGCGCGUGGGGUGUGAAAUCUGGCCGCUUAACGGCCAGGCGCCAUCCCAUACGGCGCGACUGGAGGCUUGCAGAGGGCGGUGGAAUUGCCGGUGUAGUGGUGAAAUGCGUAGAUAUCUGGAGGAACACCGGUGGCGAAGGCGGCGACCUGGGUCGACACUGACGCUGAGGCGCGAAAGCGUGGGGAGCAAACAGG